CCUACGGGAGGCAGCAGUGGGGAAUAUUGGACAAUGGGCGCAAGCCUGAUCCAGCAAUGCCGCGUGAGUGAUGAAGGCCUUAGGGUCGUAAAGCUCUUUUACCAGGGAUGAUAAUGACAGUACCUGGAGAAUAAGCUCCGGCUAACUCCGUGCCAGCAGCCGCGGUAAUACGGAGGGAGCUAGCGUUGUUCGGAAUUACUGGGCGUAAAGCGUACGUAGGCGGUUAUUCAAGUCAGAGGUGAAAGCCCGGGGCUCAACCCCGGAACGGCCUUUGAAACUAGGUAGCUAGAAUCUUGGAGAGGUCAGUGGAAUUCCGAGUGUAGAGGUGAAAUUCGUAGAUAUUCGGAAGAACACCAGUGGCGAAGGCGACUGACUGGACAAGUAUUGACGCUGAGGUACGAAAGCGUGGGGAGCAAACAGGAUUAGAUACCCUGGUAGUCCACGCCGUAAACGAUGAUAACUAGCUGUUCGGGCACUUGGUGCUUGAGUGGCGCAGCUAACGCAUUAAGUUAUCCGCCUGGGGAGUACGGUCGCAAGNUUAAAACUCAAAUGAAUUGACGGCUGAGAGUGCGAGACGACGACGAGGAGAGG
rnacentral:rRNA from 1 species